AACGAACGCUGGCGGCAUGCCUAACACAUGCAAGUCGAACGCGUGUAGCAAUACACGAGUGGCGGACGGGUGAGUAACGCGUGGGAACCUGCCCAAUGGUAGGGAAUAACUGCGGGAAACUGCAGCUAAUACCCUAUGCUCCCUACGGGGGAAAGAUUUAUCGCCAUUGGAGGGGCCCGCGUCGGAUUAGCUAGUUGGCGGGGUAACGGCCCACCAAGGCUACGAUCCGUAGCUGGUCUGAGAGGAUGAUCAGCCACACUGGGACUGAGAUACGGCCCAGACUCCUACGGGAGGCAGCAGU
rnacentral:rRNA from 1 species